rnacentral:rRNA from 1 species
CAGUCGCCACGGGAAUACGUAGGGUGCGAGCGUUAAUCGGAAUUACUGGGCGUAAAGCGUGCGCAGGCGGUUGUGUAAGACAGGUGUGAAAUCCCCGGGCUUAACCUGGGAACUGCGCUUGUGACUGCACAGCUAGAGUAUGGCAGAGGGGGGUGGAAUUCCACGUGUAGCAGUGAAAUGCGUAGAGAUGUGGAGGAACACCGAUGGCGAAGGCAGCCCCCUGGGCCAAUACUGACGCUCAUGCACGAAAGCGUGGGGAGCAAACAGGAUUAGAUACCCGAGUAGUCCCUGUCUUUUAUAC